CGACGGAUGAUGACAAGAAGGGAAAGCGAAAGAGAAGCUUAACUUCCAAGUACAGACCCCAGGCCUCUUCUGAUGAAGAGGAGUCUUGUCUUCCAGAUGCACCAGCAGUGCUGUCGUUUCAGCAACCUCUUUUGAGCUUUGAAAACCUUGUUCCCAGUAACAAGGUUUCAGUGCUGCCCGAUGCUCCAGAGGUUGCAUCGAUUCCAGAAAACCAGGAAAAUGUUGAGCCAUCUGUAGAUUUCAGAGCUGAACCAGGUUUCUCCCCAGUAAUCCAGACUCCACUUCACAGAGCCAAGAGUUUGAGUACAAGACACUUGACGGGUUACUCACCGCAGCAGUUUGUGGAUGAAAGGUGUCGAGCUCGUCAAGUACUAAGCUUUACACCCCCAGCAGCACAUUUACCCUGGCAGCAUAUGGGUGAAAACGCUGGAGG